AUUGAGUCGUUGCGAAUUUGGAUUUCGGAAUUAGAAUCCAAUCCUGGUCGAGCUUCAGUGGUGCGCAAGGAAUCCAGCCCUUUUUAACUAUUUUUCCAGUUUUUUUAUUUCAUCUCGCCUGUAGUUUUUUUUAACACAAAGUAAAUUUCAAGAAAGCGCUAUUUGGCGUGCCCUCCUGAAUUGCCGAAAGUUCCCAAAGAUUUCUUUUUCCUCACGAUUCUAUAAGUGGUGUGCGAUUGAUCACGUCAUGGCCUGAGGCAGGGCAACCCCU
rnacentral:lncRNA from 1 species